ACGGCGAGUGAAGAGGAAAGAGCUCAAAGUUGGAACCUGUUUGGCUUAGCUAAACCGGAUUGUAAACUGUAGAAACAUUUUCCAGAUACACUAGAUUAAAAAGUCCUUUGGAACAGGGCAUCAUAGAGGGUGAGAAUCCCGUCUUUGGUCUAAGUAGUUGUCUAUUGUGAUAUGUUUUCAAAGAGUCAGGUUGUUUGGGAAUGCAGCCUAAAUUGGGUGGUAAAUCUCACCUAAAGCUAAAUAUUUGCGAGAGACCGAUAGCGAACAAGUACCGUGAGGGAAAGAUGAAAAGAACUUUGAAAAGAGAGUUAAACAGUAUGUGAAAUUGUUAAAAGGGAACCGUUUGGAGCCAGAUUGGCUUGAUUGUAAUCAACCUAGAAUUCGUUUUGGGUGCACUUGCAGUCUAUGCCUGCCAACGACAGUUUGAUUUGGAGGAAAAAAUUAUUAGGAAUGUGGCCUUUCGAGGUGUUAUAGCCUAUUAUCAUACUCUGGAUUGGACUGAGGAACGCAGUGAAUGCCUUUAGGCAAGAUUGCUGGGCGCUUUCGCUAAUAAAUGUUAGAAUUUCUGCUUCGGGUGGUGCUAAUGUUUAAAGGAGGAACCCGCUUAGUAUAUUUUUUAUUCGCUUAGGUUGUUGGCUUAAUGACUCUAAAUGAC
rnacentral:rRNA from 1 species